rnacentral:lncRNA from 1 species
ACUUCAGGAAAGGGGGAAUUGUCUGUGAACCAGAGCUUUUUUGCAUUCUCUGAAGUAGUGCUCUGCUGAAGAGUUACCACUCGCCAAACAGAUGAAGGAAAUGAAAAUUUCUAUCACUCACUGAAUGCACGCCUUACAAAACAAGACAUCUUGAAGGGCUUUAGUGUCAUCCAUAGGGAGCAGAAGAGUUCCUGAAAUGGAAGUGACACGAAAAAUAAAGCAUUAUGAGCAACAAAUAUGGUAAGUGCU